AUAAUUAAGUUUUUUGUUUUUUUCCCCUACCCUAACGCUAACCCCUUCCCUCAUCACACGCCGAUUUUCCUUCUCCUCUGUUCUCACUCGCCGCUCACCCACCCUAAGCGCCGCUCCGAUCCUCUCCCUUUUCUCUUCCCUUAGCUGCUCUCGUCAUCGCUGCUUUUCUCCUUGCUCCCCCCUAAUCUGCUCUCGUCGGCGCUCCUCUCCCUUUCUCCUCCCUCUGCUCUCGUUCGUUGCCGCCCCUCUCCCUAAUCUGCUCUCACUGUCACUGGGAUCUUCACCCACGCUCACGCAUACCUGUGCCGCCGCCGGGCUCCACCACGAUUCCUCCACAGCACUGCCUACACGUCGUGAUUCUGCCUGUCUCCUCCCAAACUCAUUCUUGUCGUCGCUGUUCCCUAAUCUGCAUAUCUCACCGUGAUUUGUUGUGGAUUGGAAGUUUUGAUAGUCACCUUGCUUCUUUCUACAUAAUCGAAUCAAAUAGGUGACAGGUACUUGGAUUUUGCAUAUGAUGGUUUAAGAUAGUUAAAGAUGGUUGAUAAUAAAUUAGUUGGUUUUUUAUUUUAUAAGACUUUGUUAGUUUUAAAACUCAAUGAUUUGUUAGUAUUAGUUAGCAUUGGAUUCAAUGCUUUUACAUUAGUAAUGCAUUUGUACUUUUGUGAUGAUGAGAUGAAUUAUAUAUGAUGAUAUGACAAAUGAAUUGGAUAUUUUGGAUAUAAAAUGUUUCUAUUCUUAUUG